rnacentral:tmRNA from 1 species
GGGGAUGCUAGGCAUCGAUAAUAAAAUGCUUAAGAAAUAUUCAGGGCGUGCGUUUCAGCUGGCACGUUAAUCACGCUGAAAAAACAUAAGUGUAAAAGACUUAUCUAGCAAAGUUGCGUUUGCUUUUCGCAUUCCAACUUUAGCUACUGUUACAGCCUAAUAGCUGCAACCAUUUGCCUGGUGAUUUCUAAUAGCCACAAGCAAGUGUUAUUUUUUUAGGAUAGGCUAUUUAAUAAUUCUAGGUAAUUAGCCGAAAUAAAUAGAAUUAGCUGCUAACACUUUUGUUUUGCUUCGAUGUUAUCAGUGAAAAAUUAAGCAAUACUAAUCCUGUAAAUAUGUUUUUUAAGAUUUAUUAGACGUGGGUUCAACUCCCACCAUCUCCACAG